CCCCGAUGUCGGGACAUCUGCGAUUGUUUCUCGGGGUCUAUGGGAAACGGUUCCAUCUCACCGGCAUGCUUCCGUAUCAAGGGCAACUCCAGUCACCUGGUGAAGCAGAUGCUGCAAGACAACAGCAACGGUAGAAGAUGUGUGGCCUCUGAAGACACAACGAUGUUCCAAUGUGAAAGAGGACAGAUGACGUGCAUGCGUCAUGAUGGUGGGACAACCCUUAAACAGGAUACUGUAGAAGACCCGAUGCCGAUCCGAUCUGUGACAGACGAGAACACCUACACGUAUGUGACCUGUGACCGACUAUCAGAGAAGGGAUCGAUACUUUCGUGUCGUGUCGACAAGAACGCCACAAGAUUUGGAAGCUGUGCAAAGGAAUCACUCACCAAAUGCCAUUACAAAUCGGCGGGAAAUAAGAAGAAAAAAGAUUCCACCCAAAGUGACUCCGAAGUGAGCAGAGAUGACAAGUGUCCACAAGGAUGGUCAUUCAGGAGAAAGAGAUGUCACAAACAUGUCAAUGACCCUUUGACCUUUGACCAAGCCUAUACCAGAUGUCGACACAUGGAGGCGUUCUUGACGGUGUACUCGGAAGGCUCGAAUGACGAACUCCUUCCUCCACAGUGGGGUGAAUGGACACACUGGGCAGAAAAUAAAACGAGAGAAAAUGCAACUUCCGAAUGUUUUGUCACCAACACCAGCAACUUGAAAACGAGCUGUGAGGAUUCUCAUCCUUUCUUCUGCUAUAAAGAAGUCUUCAAGUUCCUUCAGUGUAAAGCAGCCCCGGAAGCACUUCCCGUUGAACCAACGGAAGAGCUUACAACAACUGAGAUGAUCACGCCUACACCGGAAACCACCAGCACAACCACGCCCACUACCAUGCCCACUACCACGGCCAGGACCACACCCACUACCAAAACUACCAGCAUAACCACGCCCACUACCACGACCACACCCACUGCUAGGACCACACCCACUACCCAAACCACCAGCAUAACCACGCCUACUACCAAGACCACACCCACUGUCAGGACCACACCAACUACCAAAUAUCAACAUGCCCCCGUCGGGACUUCAACGCCAGAGGAAAAACUGAAUAAUGCUCGAGUUGCUCUAAAAGAGGCGAAGGCUCAGAUAGGGGACUUUGUUGCACAGUUCACGGAUGAUCAAGGGACUCUGGAUAUUCUCGAUGAAAUCAUCGACGCUCCUCCCUUGAUCGGCCCCGGACCGUCAGGGAACGACGACACAGCUGCUACCAUGGUAACUGACAUGGUUGAGAAGAUGGACAGUCUGGUAGACUCGUUAGCAGAGAUCGUCUCUGGUCCGGGGAAGUCCCUUACUAUCGAAAAUGACCAGCUUGUCCUGAAGGUGAUUCCGAUCUGUGCGACGUGCUCAUCGACGUCGCCUGGGCCGAGACUCGAAGCCGGGAUCAACAACGAUUCGUACGUGGUCAAGAUACCGUCAGCGGCAAUGGGUGAUGGAGCUACGGCUGCUAUUUCUGUUCUGAGCUCUGUCGAGGACGUGAUGUCGACCAACAUGGUCGAUGAUGGCGAAGAGACGACAACGGGUGGCGAGAAUCGGACCGUGGUCACACACGAGAUCGUCUCCUUGGUCGCCACCGUGUCGGUCAAGAAAUGGGACGGUUCGGAUCUCCAACUGGCAGCCGAUCAACCAUUCGAGAUUAUCUUCAACAAUAAACAGAGUGCAAGUGAUACGGAGGAUUCUGGUCGUUCCUGUUGCUAUUGGCAACCAGAUGAAGUGGUUAAAGGUAAAGGGGCGUGGUCAACGGAGGGGUGUGUCACCAAGGUUAACCGCACCCACACAACCUGUCAAUGUACCCAUCUGACUAGCUUCGCGGUCCUCAUGCAGGUUUCGAAAGGAGGGGCACCCCAGUCAUCUCAUGUCCGCAAGAUUCAAAAUUAUAUGACCUACGUUGGUUGUGGUCUGUCCAUGACAUGCCUUGCUACAAUGCUCAUCGUCUUCACCAUCCAAAAGUUGUAUCGGUCUGAUCGGAACGUCAUCCAUAUGAACCUGGCCUCAUCACUGUUGGUAUCACAAGCUGUAUUCCUGUUCGGCAUAGACAGGGUCGAGAUAUGGCAAGUAUGCAAGACGAUCGGUAUCUGCCUCCACUUCUUCCUCCUGGCGACGUUCUUCUGGAUGUUGGUGGAAGGCAUCUAUCUCAUCUCCAAGACAACGUCUACCAGGAACAGAUUCCUCGCGAUGCCUACCUACAUCGCUAUCGGCUGGGGAGGACCAGCUGUCAUCGUUGGGAUCACAGCCGGAGUAUCCUUCAAGGCAUACAGCAUCGAAAAGAUAUGCUGGUUAUCGAACGAGAACGGAGGGAUCUGGGCGUUCGUUGGACCCGCCAUAGGCAUAGUGAUGAUGAACGUCUCGCUCCUCUGUCAAGUCAUUCGAGUUUUCAUGAGCCUUAAAACCAACAUGAAGAAAGCACACUCAGAUAGAAUAUGGUAAGCUACACGUUGUUAAAGGAGAUCGACGUCUACCCUGAUAUUAAGUUGGCUUGAAUAGUAACAGAAACAUUAGAGAAACAUGUCAGUGGAAGUUCGAGCAAAUUUUGGUUGAAAAUAAGAAAGUUAUGAAUUGUUGAAGUUGCGAUAAAUCUAACGCAUUUUUUUGGUAGUGUUUUCCCUUAAGGAAACUGUCAUUCAUACGUGCACCCUAAAUAUGAUUAGCUAACAUUGUCAAUAUGUUUUAUACAUUCCCUGUAUAGAAACAAAUCUUUUCCGUCGUCUAUUACAAAGAAAAUGAUGGCUUGUGAAAUGUAAUGUGCAAAACCAAUGGGAGAUGACCUUUAUCUAGAGAGGUUAAAGACCGGACUGGUUUGACUUUAAUUCAUUUUUUGAACAUUUUUUUUAAAAAGUUAAUAUUUGUUGACGCGGAGGGGCGCUAAGUUUUGAAUGUCAUGUUUAGAUAUAUAUGAUUUGAAAUGAUAGAUAUCGACAGUAUACCCUACUCCUUUUCUUUUGGUUAUAGGUUGGCUCUCCGAGCGAUGCUUCUGACCCUGCCCCUCCUUGGUGGUACAUGGCUGUUUGGAAUCCUUUCUUUCAACUCUCAGACCAUCUUCUUCUCCUACAUCUUCAUCGUACUCAAUUCAUUACAGGGAGUGUUCAUAUUCGUGCUCUACUGCGUGAUGAAUGACAAGGUCAAGAAAGUAGUCGAGAGGAAACUCAGCAGCAUAUCGGGCCGGGCAUCGAACGGGAGGUCGACGAAAAGCACCACCUACACAGUUAAAAAUUUAGUGAACAUGUUGUUUAAAAGUUUAAACAACUGUUGAUUAACGGGUGACCUGAUCUAAGAGUUGUUUAAAAUGUUAAGCAA